rnacentral:lncRNA from 8 species
AUGGGACUGGUUAAGGCUCAGGUGCCCACUGUCUACGGCUCGAAUUAUGUGCCUGAACUGACUUACACAACUCCUACCCAUCAACUGCUUAUUGACCGUGGACGCCCCUUGACCACCAUGGAUGAUGGUCCUCCUACACACGACAAGACGUCAUCACAGCCUCAAGCCCAGACUCCCAGGAAUUGUCCAUCCUUCCUCUGCCCCCAGGAACAUAUAGGCUCAUUAAAGCAGACUUCCUGUAUCCUCAGUACAGCAGAGACAGUAUGGGUGACUAGGGACUGUGACUUUUAUAAAAGCACCUACAGGGAACACAUAAAGACUACAUGGGGGCUAGGAGGGAUAUUAUGGAAGAGGUGGGACUUGAGAGGUAACAGACAUCGUAUUCAUGACUUCAACACAUAAUAUCAUAUCUUAUCCAAGGUUACUUGUAGUUGACUUUAUUUGGAAUGUGCUGUGACUCAUAACACUCAAAGAACAUAGAAAGUGAAACCACACUAGGAAAAGAGCAACAUCCUUCUGGAGUCCUGUACGUCUUGUUUUGAAAUGGAUUUCUGACAGCGAUUCACACAUUCAUUGCAAUGAAUGAAUGGAUAUACAUCGACUUUGUUGACUCUGAACACUUGGAUUCUACUUUUCUGUGCAUCCAGUUGCAGGGUUGUACGUUCUGAUACCUCCCUGUAGGUGUCAGGGUUACCGCUAUGAAAUACUGAUUAUCAAAAGGCUAUUGGCUAAAUACAGUCACCGUGUUAGUUAAAUUCAUUCUCAAUGUUCAUUCACAAAAGCAUUCUAUAACAAUUACUUCAUACAAAAUACUGCACAGAGUCACAUUACUGCAAUGUGUUUUAAAUGACAUUUCUAGGGGGGGGGGGGGGGGGGGAGAUACUUAUUGUCUUGACUUUCCAUAAAUAUAUGACCUACAUUCCUUGUUUAAAAAAGGAAAUGAAACAUUUUGGGAUUUCUUUUCAUUUCAGUGUGUGUAAUCAUGAUUGCAGUGUACAGUAUAAGCACUAUGAAAGUUAUUGAAACCAGUUUUAUUUUGAACCUGAUAUUUGAGGCUCGUUAUUAUUUUGUUCCCAUGCUAGAUUAACCAAAACACACACACACACACAUUGUGGCUUGCAUUACAGGAGCCAGGAUUCAAUACGUGUACCUUAUAAGGAUAAUGGUUGUGUACACGUCAGUAAAUUAGACCAGCUCUGUUGUUCAUAUGCUCCUCAUUAGUCCCAACAUCCAAGCCAUGUGUGCAUGCUCAUUGGAAAUACAUCUUAAUAUGGGAAACACUUAAAUGCAGCUGGUGCGAGACCACAUGACAGUUCAACAAUGAUCAUUUUCUUGUGUUUUCAGUUUCUAUUGUGAUAUUUUCAUUUAGUAUAAGCUUACUUACCUAGCUUGUUUGCAUGUGUUGGAUUACUUCCAUUCCAACAUUUUGUUAGUUGACUACUCUGCAAGCUGCGUUCCAGUAAGGGAUAAAUAAUGUAAAAUUCAUGAUCUUAUUUUAUGGAAUAUUGCUAAAUGAUUAUUUACUUUGUACAUGAACAAAUAUGUAGAACUAAUGUUUAUUCGUUUAAGGAAUAUUUUCUUGUAAACUUUUUAUCGAUCGUGUACUUUUUCCCCAAUGUUUUAGUAAUUCAGUCAGUGCAGAAACAUUGCUGCUAAAAGUGUUGAUGUAUUUAUUUUUUAUUUUUACACACUCUUGCAAACGAACAGAAAAAGCUUAGAAGUAAACGUGUUUUUACCUGCAUAAUAAAAAAUCUAUAUUGUCUGUUAACCUCAUGAUUUACCAUCCUUUAUGAUUCAAUUAAAUUGCUAAGAAUGAAAAUGAUGGGCUGUCCUGUCAGGUUAUUAUUCUUCGUUUGAAUGUGAAUGAAUAAUAUUAUGCUAUCACAAAUCUGUCAAUGUCAUGCUCAUAUGGGGUUGAAUCCACAGUGGACUAAUUUCACCCUUUGAACAAAUGUUUUUCCCCAAACUCAUUGGAAUGGUUUACUCAUCAGAAUUUAACGAGGGGACUUUCUCUUGCUCUUUCAGAAUUAGCUCUGAAAUGGCAACUCCAGUUCAAAACUGAAAUCAGCUUAUUCAUUCUGGCACAUCCACACUCAAGUGGCCUUCUGGAGAUAUGGAGUGUUAUAAUGCAAUAUGAAAUUAAUGUGGCUUUUUCGAUUUCUCAUAUAUACAAUUAAAACGGCAAUCAAUUAGUGUCAGUAGCAAUUUGACUGAAAAUUAAAUCCUGGGCUUUUUCAUGGCCAUUUGUGCAUUUGUCAAAUAUUUUUUCUAUGAGAGCAACUGGGGUAAAUCACGAGGUUAAAGCACUAAUCCAACUGAAGUUUUAGAGCUGGAACAACCUUGGAUUGUGGGAACUAACUUUGCUUGGCUGAUAUGUUACAUAAUAUGUCAGGAAAUGGAUUUACAUAGGAAUUAGGAAUAUUAAUGUAAAAGUAUUGGUGUCGGCCUGAUCCUGUUAGUACACUGGAAAACCAGUAAAUCAUCAGGAUAAAGGCUAAUAUUAAUUUGGCAACAAUAUCUCGAUAGGUGGUAAGAAUGUACAGAGUGUAUAUUAGAUUUGAAAUGCAUGCUUGGAUAGUUUUAUAGUAUGGUAAGCAAUUGAUGUGUAUACUUAAGAGACACUGGGUGUGUGUUUUGUACUGUUUGGGAUGUUUUGGCUCCUGGCAAUCCAUGAUAUGAUAUAUGUAGUCACGCCAUGAUGUGUCUUUGGGGAGAGAAUACGCACACAUUGGGAAUACCCCUCUCUGUUAGCCCACUGGGAAUUCUAAAGCUUAACAAAACAUGUUCAUUUGCUGCCAUCCCCAUGAUGUCACAGCAAUGUACUGUAGAGUGCCAUCCUCAAUCCUCAAUACAGUCUCCACUGGUCCACAAUGAAAUAUCUGUCCUUUUAUUGAUUUUACCACUGAAAGAUACCUUGUAAUUCAGGUCAGAGUAUUUGGAUUGCUAUAGUCUACACAGACACAGUAAAACCAUAUGUAGCUAAAAUGUUCAGUCGCUGGAGCCGGGUUCGAGUCCCUGUCGGAGCUACUCCCGAAUUCGCUACAUUGAUGUCAGAAGUCGGGAUGGUGCCUGGGAGGCCAUCGCAGAGGCGUGUUCACGUGAAGGACUUGGUAUAGAGAAGCGUGGGGACACAGUCUCUGGAAGGAAGGGGGGGUAAUGUAGUAUGAUUGAUCGACACAAAAAUGAACUCUAAAGGUUAAUACAGUCAGUCGUCUCAUACGUUUUUAUCACCACUUUUAUCAAGUUUUGGAAUUGCGUAACAAUCAUGCAGUCACUGUUAAUCAAACCAAAAUGUAACUUCAUAAGAAAUAAUUCUUAGUGAUGCUAAACUAAAGGGUGGAUUUGGCUGUGUUUCAUUCUGAAAGAGCAGCGCAGUAUACUGGUUACCCCUGAACGACCCCAGACACUCAUGACUUUCCUGUGCGAGCCGAAUGCACCCUCUCCCUCCUUCACUCACACGGUCUGGCUCUUAGGUUGGAGAUGGAGGGAAGCGUCAGAGCAUGAAAUGCACUGCUCCAGCGUUGUCUCCGGAGUUAAUGGAUACUCAACCCUGAGAUGAUACUCUGAGGCAGGCAGGCAAGGAGAGGAAGAGGGCGAUAGCAAGAUAUAGACUGAGGGUAGAAAACAUUAGGAACACCUUCCUAAUAUUGAAAUGCACACCCUUUUGGCCUCAGAUCAGCCUCAAUUCGUCAGUGCAUGGACUCUAGAAUGUGUUGAAAGUGUUCCACAGGGAUGCUGGCCCAUGUUGACUCCAAUGCUUCCCACAAUUGUGUCAAGUUGUCUGGAUGUCCUUUGGGUUGUGGACUAUUCUUGAUACACACUGGAAACUGUUGGGUAUGAAAAAUCCAGCAGUGUUGCAAUUCUUAACACAAACUGGUGCACCUGGCACCUUCUACCAUAUCCCAUUCAAAGGCACUUACAUCUUUUGUCUUGCCCAUUCACCCUCUGAAUGGCACACAUAUACCAUCCAUGUCCCAAUUGUCUCGAGGAUUAAAAAUUCUCAUUGUUUUACAUUUUUUUAUAUGUUUAUUAUUUUCCAAUAGAUUACCGGCCCAAAAAAUCCUUCUUUAACCUGUCUCCUCCCCUUCAUCUACACUGAUUGAAGUGGAUUUAAUAAGUGACAAUAAGGGAUCAUAGCUUUCACCUGGAUUCAGCUGGUCAGUCUAUGUCAUGGAAAGAGCAGGUGUUCUUAAUGUUUUGUACGCUUCAGGGCAGUUUUGAGCCCCACCUGUUUAGCAAAAAAAUAAAACAUUAUAAUAAUAAUUGUUUACCUGUUAUUUUGCCAUUAAUACGUGUCACAUAUCAGUUUGCAAACAAUGAACAUUGAGUUAAUAAAGCCGCAUACAAACUUGGUCUCUUUUUUGUUUUCUUGAGUAAGGCAGCUCCAAAAUGGCGGUGUUUCAGCCUAGCUCAGUGCUUUCUGUGGUUGUGGGGCAGCCAGCGGAAAAUAUGUAGUGUAGGGGUUGGUAAAAUUCUCUACUUGCGCCGUGAUUGGCUCAGUAUUCUGUCACUCAUGGGGACACUACAUCACCGUAAAAUCUAUGUGUAGAGCUAAACAAAUUCAAGCAAAUUCAAGCCCCACAGAUAAAAUGAUCACAUUAUAACUACAGUAGAUUUGAUUGGAAUGAUCAUGUCAACAUCAUACUUCCAAAAUCUUAGCUAGCAAGCUACCAGUUAUCAUGAAUCAAGUCAACAAUCUAC